rnacentral:rRNA from 1 species
AUUGACCGCUGGCGGCAGGCCUAACACAUGCAAGUCGAGCGAGCGGCGCCCGGGUGAGUUAUGUCUGGGGACUGCCCGUUAGCGGGGGAUAUCUACUGGAAACGGUUUCUAAUCACGCAUACUGUCGCAUAACACAUAUGGGCUUAGCUAGUGGGUAAGGUAAUGGCUUACCUAGGCGACGAUCCCUAGCUGGUCUGAGAGGAUGAUCAGCCACACUGGGACGGAGACACGGCCAAGACUCCUACGGAGGCAGCAGUGGGGAAUAUUGCACAAUGGGCGCAAGCCUGACGCAGACAUGCCGCGGGUAUGAAGAAGGCCCUAGGGUUGUAAAGUACUUUCAGUCGGGAGGCGUUACCGACAGAAGAAGCACCGGCUAACGCCGUGCCAGCAGCCGCGGUAAUAC